ensembl:lncRNA
GAGAUUCUUGCAUAGCUGAAGUAUUCUGAAGCCUGGUACCUUGCUAUUCUGCUGUCAUUGCUGAGCUUUCCAUUGCAUUGUAGAUACCUUAUCUGGCACCUUAGUAGUGAUCUUCUCCAGAACACAAUAAUAAAAGCUGUGGAAAUGUGGUAUCUCAGUGUAAGAAAUGAUUAGGAGUUGUCACAACUAAAUGAAUAGUGACCAUCUGUAAAUGAAUUUGUAAUAUACAUGUUCUUUUCUAUUAUAAUGAUGACUGAAAGAUCCUUAAAGAAAAGCAUGCUGCUUUAACCUUAAAGCAUAAAUCCUUUACAUGGCAGGUACCACUUCAUUAGUUAUGGUAGCUGUUUGUAUGGCAUCUACCUUGCUUCAAAAAGUUAACUUCCUCAGUGAGAAGAGCGACUAUGAUGAAACCAAACAAAAACUAUCAACUACCUAUCAAUAAAACUUCAUUCUGUUUUCAAACUGGUGUCACAUCAGUUUAUCUCCACAAACUGCAGAAGAAGAGGACCUUGUUGUAAAGAAUUGAGAUGUGACUCAGAAAAUGUGGGUGAAAUUUCCUGUUUGGCAGAUUUUGUGUGACCUUGGAAAAGACACAAUCUUAGUAUAUCGUCCUCAACUUAUUACAUAAAUAAUAUUAUAAAUUGUUAAAAAUAAAGCUUAUGUAGAGAUAAGCUCACUCUUUUCAAAAGAUUCUGUACAACAACAAAGGAGUGUGCUGUCAUGUCAUUAGGAUGAGACCUUAUUCUCUGAACUUCUACAGAACAACUUUGCAUUUGGUGGCUUCAUUAUAGACUGAACAUGCAGCACUGCACAGUAGAAACUGGAUGAUUACAGAAAUGCUGGAACCCAAAGGUUUGUGAAAAGAGGAUGGAUUUGGCUGUAUUGCAUGCCAAAGGUGUAUUUGACUCAGUUGAUACUGGGUUCCCAUGAGCUUUCAGAUCCAUAGCAUUCAGAAUCAAAGCGAAGUCCUACAACUUAAGGAAAGUGUCGAAUGAGGAGAAUGAAGGAAGUUGUGAACUGCUCUGUGACAGUGAGGCUGAGUUGAACAGAGGGAUUUACAUCUAUAAUGUUCACAGCAUCACUCUUCUAGAAAAGGCAGUAGCACUCCCUUUCCCUCAUUGCUUUCUGCUUGCUAUGGCUAAGUAUGUAUUCCAUGGCCUUUUGAGUUUGCUCAUUCUCUGUGUACUUCUCUAACAUAAUACUAACGUAAUACAUCCCCUUCAUGUGCAACAUAAUCUGCACAAAAGAAACACAUUUGGAGCUGUGGUUCUGUAUAUCUUGUCAGUAUAUUCUCAUCUUUCUCCAAAAACAACUGCUGCAUUUUGUUGCUGGGAACAUAGAGACUAUUGCUGCAGGCAAUUCAAGGGUAUAUCAGAAAAAAAAACGUGAGAUGGUAUGGACACAACCAUGGUUCUACCACUCUGCCAAAUAUUACCUUUUUCUUUUUUCUGGAAACAACCUGUCAGAUGACUGAGAUGAAAUUUAAGGUAAGCACAGUACUUACUGGUGAGGUAACAUGCUCAGUCUACAUAACAUAACAGAGCAGUUUAGGAUGCAUCCAUGAGGCUCUGCAGGAGGCUGGUGGCUACUGGGAGUGGCAGAGCAGCAGCGCUGCUUUGCUACCCCUAGCGCAUAGCUAUGGGAAAGAGGAGACAAGACGAGUUCCUGCAGUCAGGUAACUCAGAAAUCAGGAAGUCUCAUUUUUUCUCUGAACAGGAGGAAGUGCAUGUUCAAUGGACAUGUUAGAAAAAAAUAAUAAUAAUUUUUCCAGUACUAUCAAGAAAUAUUGAUUAAUGAUUGUAUAUUCUACAGCUCAUAAAACUAUAUUUUUAUAACAACUGUCAUUCUUUAUCAGAUAUUUCACUGUUAUGACAAGAUUAAAACAAA